rnacentral:misc_RNA from 1 species
UCCCCAAAGGGGCAGUCCGGCCAGACACAUGUAACUGACCGUGGGGGUUGCGCUCGUUGCGGGACUUAACCCAACAUCUCACGACACGAGCUGACGACAGCCAUGCAGCAUCUGUGGCCCACCCUCGCAGGCGAGUGGCUUUCACCACCUUGCGGGUCGUUCCGCUUUCGCUUCACUACCACUUGCAUGUCAAACCCAGGUAAGGUUCUUCGCGUUGCCUCGAAUUAAACCACACGCUCCGCUGCUUGUGCGGGCCCCCGCCUAUUCCUUUGAGUUUUAACCUUGCGGCCGUAGUCCCCAGGCGGUGAACUUAAUGCGUUAGCUGCGGCACUGAUCGGGUCAAUCCGACCAACACCUAGUUCACAACGUUUAGGGCGUGGACUAC